CGCGGUGUGGCUCAAUGGUAGAGCACUUGCCCAGCAUGUGAGAGACGCUGGGUCCAAUCCCCAGCACCACAC
rnacentral:tRNA from 1 species